GUGAGCGACAGGGGAAAUGGGGAUGGACUGGAAGUGGGCAGCAUGGGGCUGACCUUUGUCAUGGCCUGGCCAACAAAUGCCUCUUCCCCUUAUCACUCCAG
rnacentral:pre_miRNA from 1 species